rnacentral:rRNA from 1 species
AAAUUGAAGAGUUUGAUCAUGGCUCAGAUUGAACGCUGGCGGCAGGCCUAACACAUGCAAGUCGAACGGUAACAGGAAGCAGCUUGCUGCUUCGCUGACGAGUGGCGGACGGGUGAGUAAUGUCUGGGAAACUGCCUGAUGGAGGGGGAUAACUACUGGAAACGGUGGCUAAUACCGCAUAACGUCGCAAGACCAAAGAGGGGGACCUUCGGGCCUCUUGCCAUCAGAUGUGCCCAGAUGGGAUUAGCUAGUUGGUGAGGUAACGGCUCACCAAGGCGACGAUCCCUAGCUGGUCUGAGAGGAUGACCAGCCACACUGGAACUGAGACACGGUCCAGACUCCUACGGGAGGCAGCAGUGGGGAAUAUUGCACAAUGGGCGCAAGCCUGAUGCAGCCAUGCCGUGUGUAUGAAGAAGGCCUUCGGGUUGUAAAGUACUUUCAGCGGGGAGGAAGGUGUUGUGGUUAAUAACC